rnacentral:rRNA from 1 species
AUUGAACGCUGGCGGCAGGCCUAACACAUGCAAGUCGAACGAGUGGCGGACGGGUGAGUAAUGUCUGGGAAACUGCCCGUUGGAGGGGGAUAACUCCUGGAAACGGUAGCUAAUACCGCAUACCAUCGGAUGUGCCCACCUGGGCUUAGCUAGUAGGUGGGGUAACGGGUCACCUGCGCGACGAUCCCUAGCUGGUCUGAGAGGAUGACCAGCCAAAUGGGAACUGAGACACGGUCCAGAUGCCUACGGGAGGCAGGAGGGGGGAAUAUUGCACAAUGGGAGCAAGCCUGAUGCAGCAAUGCAGCGUGUAGGAAGAAGGCCUUCGGGUUGUAAAGUACUUUCAGCGAGGAGGCGUUACGCGCAGAAGAAGCACCGGCUAACUCCGUGCCAGCAGCCGCGGUAAUAC